rnacentral:rRNA from 1 species
UACGUAGGGUGCAAGCGUUGUCCGGAAUUAUUGGCGUAAAGGGCUCGUAGGCGGUCCAUCGCGUCGGGAGUGAAAAGCUGGGGCUCAACCCCAGUCCUGCUUCCGAUACGGGUGGACUAGAGGUAUGCAGGGGAGAACGGAAUUCCUGGUGUAGCGGUGAAAUGCGCAGAUAUCAGGAGGAACACCGGUGGCGAAGGCGGUUCUCUGGGACGGUACUGACGCUGAGACGCGAAAGCGUGGGGAGCGAACAGG